rnacentral:rRNA from 1 species
AGCAGCCGCGGUAAUUCCAGCUCCAAUAGCGUAUAUUAAAGUUGUUGCAGUUAAAAAGCUCGUAGUUGAAUUUCGGGAUCAAUAUGUUGGUCGUGCCUUGGUACGUACUAAUUUAUUGGUUUCUUCCUUCUGACGAACCACGAUGUCAUUAAUUUGGUGUCUUGGGGAAUCAGGACUGUUACUUUGAAAAAAUUAGAGUGUUUAAAGCAGGCUCACGCUUGAAUACAUUAGCAUGGAAUAAUGAAAUAGGAUGUUUGAUUCUAUUUUGUUGGUUUCUAGGAUCGACGUAAUGAUUAAUAGGGAUAGUUGGGGGCAUUAGUAUUCAAUUGUCAGAGGUGAAAUUCUUGGAUUUAUUGAAGACUAACUACUGCGAAAGCAUUUGCCAAGGAUGUUUUCAUUAAUCAAGAACGAAA